GUCCCCCAUCUUCUCUCUCUUCAUCUCUUGCCUUGCCCUCCCCAGCCCUCUCUUUCUUGAUAAAAAAAUUGCCAAAUUGCCGGCACAAAUGGAAGUACUGUUCAUGCAUAAGGAAUUUUUUCUUUUUCUGGUGAGAUUUUGGUAGCUUUAUUUGGAUAGACACCUUCCCUUUUACGUAGAGAAAGCCCUAAUUUUCCACCUUCAUGUGAUCCCAACUAUGAAGAUCUCUAAUCAUACCAAGUACGAAUGCCACACUCAAUGCCAUUUCUUUUCUUUUUUUUUUGUUUUAGUUUUGGGAUUUUUUUUCUAGAAUUUACUUUGUUGAUCUAUGUGUUGAUUGAUUUGUUGGUGUAGGGUUCUAUCUUCAUUUUGAUUUCUCACUGUAUUUGGGUUGGUUGAUUUAUAUGUUGACUGAUUUGUUGGUGUAUGGUUCUUUCUUCAUUUUGAUUUUCAUUGUAUUUGGAUUUGUUCAGGAAUUCUGAAAUUUCCACCCAUCGAGUGCAGUUUAUUAUACAUAAAAAAGAAGUAACAAAUAAGAGAUGACCUUCUCCCAAAAUAGAAGUAAUCGUCUCCAAGUAUAGGCAUUCAAUUUAUGAUACCUUGGUCACUUACAAAUCUGUGAUGUUCCCUUUAUAAAAACCUGAUUCUUUUGUUGCCAGCAAAGGCUACGUAGGUAACUUAUUGCUCCAACGAAUUUCAUUUUCUUUUUUCAGUUAUAUCUCAUCUUGAAUAAGUUUCUGUCACAAAGUUCUUUCAUGGCUUGGUUUCUUUUGAAUCCAUAUUUACUUGCUACUUAAAUAGUGAUAUCUUCCUAGAAGAGCUUGGCCUUAUAAAUUCAAGAAAUGAUUAUUUUCAUUUUAUUGCAGAGUCCAAAUGUUUGAAAAUAUGCCCCAGCCAUUUUUCAUGUUUUGAUUCCAUUUUUUCUUUGAUUAUGCACUUCUUUUCAUACUUAAAGGAUUAAAUUUUGGAUCAAGUGAAUGAUUUAUUGUUAUUUUCAGUAUAAUAAUUAUCAGAUGACAGGAAAGGCCGGAGUAAUGGUUUUGUUUAUUUGAUGAUUUCUUGUUCUUUUCAUAGCUAAAGGAUUAAAUUCUAUUGAGUAAUGGUUUUAUUUGUUUGAACUAUUCCCUGCCUUGCUAGACUUGAAGAAUUAGGAUCAUGAUUUGGGAGAUUCAAAACUUACUCUACGUAUUUUGAAUGGGGAACUGUAUGGGAUGGUGAGAGUACAACCUUUUGUUUGAAGUUGUGGUGAUGAAGAUAUUUGGUUUCAAAGCCAUAAAGUAGAAGGCAUGAGAGCUUCUCACUCAUGUAUUUUCAAGGCCAAAAAAUAUUCUUGAUAGAGACAGAGAGAUGGAACAAUGUUGUAAUCAUAUAAUUCAAAUUUGAAGUUUAUGCAAGCAAUGCUAAUGGAGAUCUCACUCUCUCUCUCUCUCUUAAAUUUUAAAACAAUUGAUGCAUUUUAUCUUGUACCUACAUGAAUAAAGUUUUUCUUAUUCAAUAUGAA